rnacentral:rRNA from 1 species
AUUGAACGCUGGCGGCAGGCCUAACACAUGCAAGUCGAGCGGAUGAAGGGAGCUUUCUCCUGGAUUCAGCGACGGACGGGUGAGUAAUGCCUAGGAAUCUGCCUGGUAGUGGGGGAUAACGUCCGGAAACGGGCGCUAAUACCGCAUACGUCCUGAGGGAGAAAGUGGGGGAUCUUCGGACCUCACGCUAUCAGAUGAGCCUAGGUCGGAUUAGCUAGUUGGUGGGGUAAAGGCCUACCAAGGCGACGAUCCGUAACUGGUCUGAGAGGAUGAUCAGUCACACUGGAACUGAGACACGGUCCAGACUCCUACGGGAGGCAGCAGUGGGGAAUAUUGGACAAUGGGCGAAAGCCUGAUCCAGCCAUGCCGCGUGUGUGAAGAAGGUCUUCGGAUUGUAAAGCACUUUAAGUUGGGAGGAAGGGAAGUAAGUUAAUACCUUGCUGUUUUGACGUUACCAACAGAAUAAGCACCGGCUAACUUCGUG